CUAGUGCAGCAGUGAUGCUGCGUGACGGUUAAUAAGAAGUCAGCAGAAGGCAUAGUACCUUGGGGAAGUACAACCCAAGGGAAGGCC
rfam:Photobacterium gaetbulicola Gung47 chromosome 1, complete sequence.